rnacentral:rRNA from 1 species
ACGGGAGGCAGCAGUGGGGAAUAUUGCACAAUGGGGGAAACCCUGAUGCAGCGACGCCGCGUGGAGGAAGAAGGUCUUCGGAUUGUAAACUCCUGUUGUUGGGGACGAUAAUGACGGUACCCAACAAGGAAGUGACGGCUAACUACGUGCCAGCAGCCGCGGUAAAACGUAGGUCACAAGCGUUGUCCGGAAUUACUGGGUGUAAAGGGAGCGCAGGCGGAGAUGCAAGUUGGAAGUGAAAUCCAUGGGCUCAACCCAUGAACUGCUUUCAAAACUGUAUCCCUUGAGUAGUGCAGAGGUAGGCGGAAUUCCCGGUGUAGCGGUGGAAUGCGUAGAUAUCGGGAAGAACACCAGUGGCGAAGGCGGCCUACUGGGCACCAACUGACGCUGAGGCUCGAAAGCGUGGGUAGCAAACAGGAUUAGAUACCCUGGUA